rnacentral:misc_RNA from 1 species
GAUGAAGAACGUAGCGAAAUGCGAUCAGUAAUGCGAAUUGCAGAAUUUCCGUGAGUCAUCGAAUCUUUGAACGCACAUUGCGCCCACUGGUAUUCCGGUGGGCAUGCCUGUUCGAGCGUCAUUAUCCUCCCUCAAACCCCGGGUUUGGUGUUGGACCCAAGUUGUGUGAACAACUGGUCUCAAAGACAAUGACGGCGUCCGUGGGACCCUCGGUGCAACGAGCUUUUAGGAGCACGCAUCGAGUUGCAAGGACCUUCCGGGCCGGUCUCCUUUACCAUUUUACAAGGUUGACCUCGGAUCAGGUAGGAAUACCCGCUGAACUUAAGCAUAUCAAUAAGCGGAGGA